UACGGAGGGUGCAAGCGUUAUCCGGAUUCACUGGGUUUAAAGGGUGCGUAGGCGGGCAGGUAAGUCCGGGGUGGAAUCUCUGAGCUUAACUCAGAAACUGCCAUGGAUACUAUUUGUCUUGAAUGUUGUGGAGGUAAGCGGAAUAUGUCAUGUAGCGGUGAAAUGCUUAGAUAUGACAUAGAACACCAAUUGCGAAGGCAGCUUACUACACAAAUAUUGACGCUGAGGCACGAAAGCGUGGGGAGCGAACAGG
rnacentral:rRNA from 1 species